rnacentral:rRNA from 1 species
ACUCAAAUGAAUUGACGGGGGCCCGCACAAGCGGCGGAGCAUGUUGCUUAAUUCGACGCAACGCGAAGAACCUUACCAAGGUUUGACAUCACCGGAAAACUCGCAGAGAUGCGGGGUCCUUUUGGGCCGGUGACAGGUGGUGCAUGGCUGUCGUCAGCUCGUGUCGUGAGAUGUUGGGUUAAGUCCCGCAACGAGCGCAACCCUCGUUCCAUGUUGCCAGCACGUAAUGGUGGGGACUCAUGGGAGACUGCCGGGGUCAACUCGGAGGAAGGUGGGGAUGACGUCAAGUCAUCAUGCCCCUUAUGUCUUGGGCUGCAAACAUGCUACAAUGGCCGGUACAAAGGGCUGCGAAACCGUGAGGUGGAGCGAAUCCCGGAAAGCCGGUCUCAGUUCGGAUUGGGGUCUGCAACUCGACCCCAUGAAGUCGGAGUCGCUAGUAAUCGCAGAUCAGCAACGCUGCGGUGAAUACGUUCCCGGGCCUUGUACACACCGCCCGU